rnacentral:rRNA from 1 species
CAGUAGCCGCGGUAAAACCAGCACCUCGAGUGGUCAGGAGGUUUAUUGGGCCUAAAGCAUCCGUAGCCGGUUGCAUAAGUUUUCGGUUAAAUCUAUGCGCUUAACGUAUAGGCCGCCGAAAAUACUGUGCAGCUAGGGAGGGGGAGAGGUACACGGUACUCGAUAGGAAGGGGUAAAAUCCUUUGAUCUAUUGAUGACCACCUGUGGCGAAGGCGGUGUACCAGAACACGUUCGACGGUGAGGGAUGAAAGCUGGGGGAGCAGACCGGAUUAGAUACCCCUGUAGUCCAUGUCUCUUAUAC